UACAGAGGGUGCAAGCGUUAAUCAGAAUGACUGGGCGUAAAGGGCGUGUAGGUGGUUGACUAGGUUUGAUGUGAAAGCCCCGGGCUUAACCUGGGAAUGGCGUCGAAAACGGGUUGACUGGAGUGAGAGAGAGGGUUGUGGAAUUUCCGGUGUAGCGGUGAAAUGCGUAGAUAUCGGAAAGAGCAUCAGUGGCGAAGGCGACAACCUGGCUCUUAACUGACACUGAGGCGCGAAGGCGUGGGGAGCAAACAGG
rnacentral:rRNA from 1 species